UCAAACGAAGUGGUCGCCCUUCAACUUCCUGGUAGCAUAUUUGCAUGGAAGAAGUCAAUAACACAGGAAUGAUUGUACAAAAUGCAGCGAGCGCGGCAACAUGGGAGCGGCGUUCGAGUGACUUCGAAGCUGAACCCAAGCAUCCUUCAGACUCAGAGAAAGCCUUGAGUUGGUGGUGAUCUGUCGUCUCUAUCGUCACAAAUCGACGGCGGAGGUUCCAAAAUGUUGCAGAUCUCGUCAAACGCUCCGAGUCCAUGAAGAAGAAGCUCAAAAUCCAGUUUUUAAGAAACUAAGACAGAUUCGCAGAGAAUACAUGCAAGUAAAGAAAAAAGGGUAUGGUUGAAGAAUGGAGGGAAACAUACUGGUAUUUGAGGAGCAUAUGCUGAGAGGAUGCCAUAAUGCUGUUCCAUGGGGGAUUGCAGGGAAAAAAUUGGUGAAGGUUUUUGUGGAUCCACAGAAAUCUUACAGUCACCUGCAAGGAUUUUUCAACAGAAGUUUUC